ACGAAGUAGGCUUCCGCAAGGACAUCUGUAGAGGUGCUGCAUGGCUGUCGUCAGCUCGUGUCGUGAGAUGUUGGGUUAAGUCCCGCAACGAGCGCAACCCUUGUCUUCUGUUGCCAUCGGGUCAAGCCGGGCACUCUGAAGAGACUGCCGGUGACAAACCGGAGGAAGGUGGGGAUGACGUCAAGUCAGCAUGGCCUUUAUGUCUGGGGCCACACACGUGCUACAAUAGCCGGUACAAACCGUCGCAAACUCGCAAGGGUGAGCUAAUCGGAGAAAGCCGGUCUCAGUUCGGAUUGUCGGCUGCAACUCGCCGGCAUGAAGUUGGAAUCGCUAGUAAUCGCGGAUCAGCACGCCGCGGUGAAUACGUUCCCGGGCCUUGUACACACCGCCCGUCACAUCACGAAAGCUGGCUGUACUAGAAGUAGCUGAGCUAACCCGCAAGGGAGGCAGGUUCCUAAGGUAUGGUCAGUGAUUGGGGUGAAGUCGUAACAAGGUAACCGU
rnacentral:rRNA from 1 species